AGAAAGCUGAAAAGUCAUAGCCCGGAAGCCGGAAAGAAGCUGAACAUUUUAAUAUUUGAAGGAUUUUAAUAGCUGAAAGUGUGAAGGAGUUGAAAGGUGCCACGGAAGAAAUAGAAGAAUAAAAAAGGCAUUUCCUGCUGAAAAUGCGUUGGAAUGCAAAAAGCUGAAAGCUGCACUGAAUAUUUAAAAAUAGCUGAAAAUACAGAAAGUUGAAGGGAAUUUGAAUACAUUUGCUGAAUAUUUAAAAAUAGCUGAAAAUACAGAAAGUUGAAGGGAAUUUGAAUACAUUUGCUGAAAUAAAAGAUAUUAGAAAAGCUGAAAUUAAUUUGAAAUAGCUGAAAAUACAGAAAUGGGAGAAGCUGAAAGGAAUUUGAAUAGAUUUGCUGAAAAAGCAGAAAUGAAAACAGCUGAAAUAAAUGUGAAAUAUUGCAAAACAGAAGUUGCAGGAGCUUAAAUGAAUUUUAAAAAGUACAGAAAUAACAAAAGCUGAGAUGAAUAAAAAGAGGUUUAAAAUUGUUUGUAGUAAUGUUAGUUGUAAUUUGGGUAUUAGUACUAGCAGUAGAAGUCGGUUUAGUAUCAAUAGCAGUAGAAACAGCUGGAAUACUGAUACUAUUAGCCAUAGUAGUAUUUUUAAUAACAUUAGUAGUAGUUGUAUUAAUAGCAGUAGAAAUACUAGUAGUAUGGUAGUAGAAGUAUCAGUUGUAGUUCUACUGAGGUACUAGUAAUAUUCGUAGUGGUUAUAGUAGUAUUUGAAAGAGCAAUGCGUAUUUCAACGAAACCGCUUCAUGGUUAAGGUACAGAUAAUCAUUGAG
ensembl:lncRNA